UACGGAGGGUGCAAGCGUUAUCCGGAUUCACUGGGUUUAAAGCGCACGUAGGCGGACUCUUAAGUCGGUGGUGAAAUCCUGGAGCUCAACUCCAGAACUGCCUUCGAUACUGAGAGUCUCGAGUCCGAGAGAGGUGAGUGGAACUGCGAGUGUAGAGGUGAAAUUCGUAGAUAUUCGCAAGAACACCAGUGGCGAAGGCGGCUCACUGGCUCGGUACUGACGCUGAGGUGCGAAAGCGUGGGGAGCAAACAGG
rnacentral:rRNA from 1 species